CUGGAGGCAAUGAAUUCUAUCAGGAAGUGAUCAACCAACCAGAUCCUCCUAUCUUUGAGGUCAACAUUCUUGAAGAAUCAAUCGAUGAAGCAUUAGUCGUUGAUGAAUUUCGUAUUAACCCAAGACCUUGUCAAGUUCACCAUAUACAAAAAUCCCGGCAUCCCAUAGAAUAGAAAUGUGCUCCUGAAAGACAUCAAUUGCAGGGUCAAGUUUCAAGCAUAGCAAUAUUCGAAGAUAUUUAAAAUGCAGCACCGGAAAGCGAAAACAUCAAAACAAUUUCUCCACAAACUUCACGAUUGAAUCCUCAUUAGAUUGUACAAUGUGUGUGUGUGUGUGUGUGCGCGGGCCGCGCGUGUGUGAUAUAUACGUAUAAAGAUUUUAAACUCCACAAAAUUUAUGUUUGCAGGUGAGAGCAGCUGCACCGCACGUUAGUGAUCUAAGUUUGAGGUCCAGUGAGUCAGAUGCCAGAAAUAGAAGGGGUUCUUUUCUUCUUCUGGUGAGGACUCCAUUUGACCUUACAACUAAUCCACCAUCAGUUUGCAUUCGCUAUAUGCUUGUCAGUUCCAUUUCGAUCAUUUUCUUUACUUAAGAAUGGCCUCUCUUCUCGGGGCUAUGCUAUUCUUACCCGACGGCACGUCUCAUGAUGAUGCUGCUUGUGCUACUAUCCUCGCUUAGAGUUUCGAAAUCCUAGUGUCAUUUACCAUAAAAUAAAAAUAAAAGUAUGAAAAGUCCUGAAUCGUGAUGUUGAAUGUAAAUUUCUGCG
rnacentral:lncRNA from 1 species